AGGACGAACGCUGGCGGCGUGCUUAACACAUGCAAGUCGAACGGUAAGGCCCCUUCGGGGGUACACGAGUGGCGAACGGGUGAGUAACACGUGGGUAAUCUGCCCUGCACUUCGGGAUAAGCCUGGGAAACUGGGUCUAAUACCGGAUAUGAGCUCCUGCCGCAUGGUGGGGGUUGGAAAGUUUUUCGGUGCAGGAUGAGUCCGCGGCCUAUCAGCUUGUUGGUGGGUAAUGGCCCACCAAGGCGACGACGGGUAGCCGGCCUGAGAGGAUGAUCAGCCACACUGGAACUGAGACACGGUCCAGACUCCUACGGGAGGCAGCAGUGGGGAAUAUUGGACAAUGGGCGCAAGCCUGAUCCAGCCAUACCGCGUGGGUAGAAGAAGG
rnacentral:rRNA from 1 species